UACGUAGGCAGCGAGCGUUGUUCGGAAUUACUGGGCGUAAAGGGCGCGUAGGCGGCCUUCUAAGUCAGACGUGAAAUCCCCCGGCUUAACCUGGGAACUGCGUCUGAUACUGAAGAUCUUGAGUUCGGGAGAGGUGAGUGGAACUGCGAGUGUAGAGGUGAAAUUCGUAGAUAUUCGCAAGAACACCAGUGGCGAAGGCGGCUCACUGGCCCGAUACUGACGCUGAGGCACGAAAGCGUGGGGAGCAAACAGG
rnacentral:rRNA from 1 species